UUGACAGAAUAUAUAGUUAAAUAGCUCAACGAGAGCGAUUACUUGUCAUUUAUAGAGAGAAUUUUAAGACAAUUAAGUUUCAAGGUUUCAAAAUGUUCUUUUUUAUCAUUUACGCUGCCUGUUUUCUGUUAGUUUCGGGUAUUCCACAAGAGGUACUACCAUUUACAAAAGAAGAUUGCUAUCAACCACAUACAUAUGGUUCUACGAAUUGUUUGGCUCUCAUUGAAAUUUACCACUGGAACCACGAAUUAAAAAAAUGUGAAAAAACGAUAUACGGUGGAUGUAAUGCAUCAAAAAAUAAUUUUGGAACAUUAGACCAAUGCGAAAAUGUCGCUGGCGUUUUUUGUGCACAUUUAUAAAUUAAAUAACAAUAAAUGUAAAUAAACUGUUUUAAUUGA